rnacentral:rRNA from 1 species
AAAGCUCUUUCGCCUGUGAAGAUAAUGACUGUAGCAGGUAAAGAAACCCCGGCUAACUCCGUGCCAGCAGCCGCGGUAAUACGGAGGGGGUUAGCGUUGUUCGGAAUUACUGGGCGUAAAGCGCGCGUAGGCGGAUUAGUCAGUCAGAGGUGAAAUCCCAGGGCUCAACCCUGGAACUGCCUUUGAUACUGCUAGUCUUGAGUUCGAGAGAGGUGAGUGGAAUUCCGAGUGUAGAGGUGAAAUUCGUAGAUA